UCUCCGUAGGUGAACCUGCGGAGGGAUCAUUACUGAGUGAGGGCUCACGCCCGACCUCCAACCCUUUGUGAACACAUCUUGUUGCUUCGGGGGCGACCCUGCCGCUUCGGCGGUGCGGCGCCCCCGGAGGCCAUUAAACACUGCAUCAUUGCGUCGGAGUUUAACACAAAUGAAACAAAACUUUCAACAACGGAUCUCUUGGUUCUGGCAUCGAUGAAGAACGCAGC
rnacentral:misc_RNA from 1 species